GGAUGUGAGGGCGGUCUGGCUGCGACAUCGGUCACCCCAUUGGUCGCCAGGAUUGAUUCGGCUGAUCUGGCUGGCUAGGCGGGGGGCCCCUUCCUCCCUCACUGCUCCAUGUGCGUCCCUCCGGAAGCUGUGCGCUGGCUCGAAGAGGACGACCACCCCGGCUAGAGGAGGCCCGUUUCCUCGGUCAAGGGUAUACGAGUAGCUGCGCUCCCCUGCUAGAACCUCCAAACAAGCUCUCAAGAUAACAAUAUACAUUGUAAUAAUGAUUGUUAUUCUCUUAUUAUUUGGUUAUGAAAUUUGGUUUUAUUUUUU
rnacentral:snRNA from 1 species